CAGUGCUUACAAAACACCCUGAAUGUGCCUGAUCUCGUCUGAUCUCAGAAGCUAAGCAGGGUCGGGCCUGGUUAGUACUUGGAUGGGAGAACACCAAACAAAUAUAAUGAAAGGAGUUUUCCAUGGCAUAUCCAUUGU
rnacentral:rRNA from 1 species